rnacentral:misc_RNA from 1 species
GAUGAAGAACGUAGCGAAAUGCGAUAAGUAAUGUGAAUUGCAGAAUUCAGUGAAUCAUCGAAUCUUUGAACGCACAUUGCGCCCGCCAGUAUUCUGGCGGGCAUGUCUGUCCGAGCGUCAUUUCAACCAUCAAGCCCCCGGGCUUGUGUUGGGGACCUGCGGCUGCCCGCAGGCCCUGAAAACCAGUGGCGGGCUCGCUGUCACACCGAGCGUAGUAGCAAUCACCUCGCUCAGGGCGUGCUGCGGGUUCCGGCCGUUAAACAGCCUUACAAAACCCAAGGUUGACCUCGGAUCAGGUAGGAAGACCCGCUGAACUUAAGCAUAUCAAUAAGCGGAGGA